rnacentral:tRNA from 1 species
GCCCGGAUAGCUCAGUUGGUAGAGCAGAGGACUGAAAAUCCUCGUGUCA